UCUAAUAUGGCAGAAUAGUGCAAUGAAUUUAAGCUUCAUAUAUAAAGAAUAUUUCUUUUAUUAGAA
rnacentral:tRNA from 1 species